UCUAAGUAACCACGAUAAGGAAAUAAAUUAGAAACCAUUAUUAAUCCUCUUACAAAACAUAAUCAUCAAAUAGUCCAAAUAAAGAAAGAAAAGCUAGAAAUAAUGGAAGUGUUAGGUUGAACACAAGCUAAAACUAAAGAGUCUAGUUUUGGACAAGGCUAAACAGAAAAUAUGGACAACUUCACAUCAAAUGCAACUCAGGCAAAUAAUCAAAAAUAUUGUGGGAGUAAACAAAGCCAAUUCAAUGUUCCCAUUUCUUCAGCUC